AGAAUAUUGCACAAUGGACGAAAGUCUGAUGCAGCGACACCGCGUGAGGGAUGAAGGUUUUAGGAUUGUAAACCUCUUUUAUUAGGGAAUAGCAAGGAAGGUACCUAAUGAAUAAGCUACGGCUAACUACGUGCCAGCAGCCGCGGUAAUACGUAGGUAGCGAACGUUGUCCGGAAUCACUGGGCGUAAAGGGUCCGUAGGCGGUUUGAUAAGUCUCAUAUGAAAACUUCAAGCUCAACUUGGAGAGGUUGUGAGAUACUGUCAAACUAGAGACUGUUAGAGGUAAGUGGAAUUCCAGGUGUAGUGGUGAAAUGCGUAGAUAUCUGGAGGAACACCAGUGGCGAAAGCGACUUACUGGGACAGUUCUGACGCUAAGGGACGAAAGCGUGGGGAGCGAACCGGAUUAGAUACCCGGGUAGUCCACGCCGUAAACGAUGAUUGCUAGGUUUUCGGGGCAUCGACCCCUCGUGAGCCGAAGUUAACGCGUUAAGCAAUCCGCCUGAGUAGUACGGCCGCAAGGCUAAAACUCAAAGAAAUUGACGGGGGACCGCACAAGCAGCGGAGCGUGUGGUUUAAUUCGAUGGUAAGCGAAGAACCUUACCAGGGUUUGACAUGUAAGUAGUACUGAACCGAAAGGGGAUGGACCCGCAAGGGAGCUUACACAGGUGUUGCAUGGUUGUCGUCAGCUCGUGCCGUGAGGUGUUGGGUUAAGUCCCGCAACGAGCGCAACCCUCUUUGUUAGUUGCACUCUCUAACGAUACUGCCCUUAAAAGGGAGGAAGGUGGGGAUGACGUCAAAUCAUCAUGGCUCUUACACCCUGGGCUACACACACGCUACAAUGGCAAGUACAGACGGUUGCCAACCCGCGAGGGGGAGCUAAUCCGAUAAAACUUGUCUCAGUUGGGAUUAUAGGCUGAAAUUCGCCUAUAUGAACGUGGAGUUGCUAGUAAACGCAGGUCAGCACACUGCGUUGAAUACGUUCCCGGUCCUUGUACACACCGCCCGUCACGUCAUGGAAGUUUGUAACACUUGAAGUCGUUGCGCUAACCCUUUGGGAGGCAGACGCCGAGAGUGGGACGGAUGACUGGGACGAAGUCGUAACAAGGUAGCUGUACCGGAAGGUGCG
rnacentral:rRNA from 1 species